rnacentral:lncRNA from 1 species
GUUUUCUCUUAUGCCACAAUCCCAGUUUUCGGAGAAGAAUAUAGCUAUGUCAAAACUGUUGAUUUUGAGAAAAUGAAUCUACCGAAGGAAAAGGUAACACACUUUCAACUUUAUUGGCAAGAUGUUGUUAGUGGGUCCAAUGCAACCUCUGUCACAGUGAUUCAACCAGUGAAUAACUCGUUACCAUUUUUUGGUAUGGUAAAUAUAAUUGAUAACUCAUUAACCGUUGGGCCAAAUUUGAGCUCAAAAACAGUUGGAAAGGCCCAAGGGCUUUAUGCAUCUACGGGACAAAAAGAAUCUUCAUUAUUGAUGGUUAUGAAUUUUGCAUUUACUGAUGGCAAAUACAAUGGUAGCACAUUCACCGUGGUAGGACGAAAUAAUGUAAAUGCUGAGGUGAGGGAAAUGCCGAUAAUCGGUGGCAGUGGGCUUUUCCGAUUUGCUAGAGGUUAUGCUUUAGCAUCAACUUACUCAUCCAACGACAAAGGAGAUGCCACUAUUGAAUACAAUUGUUAUGUCAUACAUUAUUGAUGUUUUUUCUUUUUCUUUUUUUAAUUUUUUGUGUGGAGUUUUGAUUCACAAUAGUGAUAUACUUAAAUAAUUGUGUGUUCCCACCAUAGGUAAGUGGGAUUCUCUAGUUUUGUUUAAUUUGAAUAAAUUAGGUGGCUUUUACUUCACCUAAUUGAAUGUAAGCAUACUUUAAUAAAAUAAAAUAAAAUGAUUAUUUAUGUGGAUUAAUUACUUUCUUGAAAUUUGUUAAACCAUACUUUACUCUAUUAUAAAAAAGUUGGAGAUAAGUAAAUUUAAAAGCUUAUAUCAACAAAGUUGAAGUGGCAUCACUUUUCUAUUCAACUUAUCUAGGCUUUGUUUGAUAAAAAUGACAUAAUUCUUUGAUUUCACAUGACCCAAAUUAUCUUAACCAAACUAAAAUAUAUUCAACUUUCACUAAUUUUUAGUCAUAUAUAAUGAUAAUGAAGUUAGAAAAAGCUCAAAAAUUUGUGGAGCAUUCCCAUUUACAAAAAUGUUUUUAAGAAAUGUUUUGAUGAAAAUUAUAAAUUUUAUUUACCUUGAUAUACAAGCUAACUUUUUCCUUUGUUUGACCUAAGAUAUCAUUUAAUUGAACAUAUUUCAAAAGAAGUUCAUUUAUUGCACCUCAUUGUUUACAUAUAACUCCACAUGAUGACUAGCUGCCUCCACCUCCAUUGGCCAUUCGGUAUAUAUUAUAAUAUUACCACAAAUUUUAAUAUUAUGAUGAUACAUGCAUAAACUUAAAUUCUAACAUUUAUUUAUUUAUUUAUUCUUUGUUAGUUUAUUUUUAUAGUUGGAGAUAUGAGUUUCAGACUAGUUCGAUUAGCAUGCACGUCUUAGCUCGGUAUAGUCAUCAUCUUGAUUGACUUACAACAUAUCAGGUAGUAAAAGUGUGAUUCAUUUCUUAUACUUGUUUCUCUAAACAAAUUCUAAAUCACUUAUUAUAUCUAACAUUUCUUUGGUACAGAUUAUAUGGCAACCUUAUGUUGAUGACAUGAAUGUUGGUCUUCCUGAUUAUUGUACUGCUGGGAAAUAUAUAUAGUGCACUAUCUCACCUUUGAUAUGUUUCCACAUAAUUGAAUGGUAUAGACCUGAUCGAGUAUUGCUGCAGUUUGGAUUUCAUCAAAGGAUUCCUCAGCCAUGUAAUAAUGAGUCAAUCUUACACAAAUGUGAUUUGAGAGGUAUACAUGAUGUUGAUUAGACUACUUGAUACGGAGACUACAUUCAAUGUUGGAUCUCUAGGCGUGAGCAUAUUGCUAGAGGCGAAAUGGUUUUAGGUUCAUUGGGGUAUCAUGAUCCAUACAUGGUGUGGUAUCGCUCCAUUACUAUUCGAUUUCUUACUCGAACUAGGUCCUUCCAUGAGGUACUGGUAAUUUUCAUGUUUUAUAUUUUUAUUAAAGUUUAUUUUAUUUUUAUAAGAAUUUAAUUUAUCUCCUAUUUGACUUACAGACUACCAGCAUACACCAGAUAUAUGAUAUUGCACCUCUAGAUGAUUUCCACAUUCGCAGACUAUGUAUGUAUUAGAGGCCAUACAUGAAAUGGAUCACUUAGAUGCUCCAUUUAAUGUUGAUGCUACUACACAGCUCCAACCUCGAUCAGGAGAUGUACGACCUACACGACAAGGGCCUCGUACAAGGGAGAUUAGGCAUACACCGGUUGUUACCUGAGUGCAACCAUUGAAUGACAUUAGUCCACCACCUCAUCAGCAGCCAAUAUCAUCCAUUACUCAAUCAAGAAGUGUAUGAACUAGAAGGGAAUGGGCUCACAUGAGAGGUAGUCUACCACCUCAUCAGCAGCCGAUAUCAUCCAUUACUCGAUCAGGAGGUGUAUGAACUAGAAAAGGAGCAGCUCAUACGAGAAGGACUACGCAUACAUUUGUUCUUGGAGAUGCAUCAUCGACUGACAUUAGCCCGCCACCUGUUGAGGAGACCCUUAUUACACCUAUGGAGGUGCCAUCCACACCACCCAUAGUAUUACUUGUUGCGUCAUCACCACAACCGAUAGAGGCUACAUUGGUUAAUGAGGAGUUAGUUCAUAUAGCAAAUGAUGAUAAGUGAGGAUAAAAGAAUGAUCGUGGUCGAGGACGUGGUAGGAGACGUGGUCGUGGAGUUCAUGAAGGGAUACAUGUUAGCCCCAUAGAGCCAAUAGUGGAACAUGCAUAUCAUGGACGUCCACAACGAACAAUAAAGGCUCAUUCAUGCAGUACACAUUGAGGACGUUACUACAUAUGACUUGUAUUUUGGAUACUAUUAGUAUUUUGCAUAUCAUUAUUUUGGACAAAUACUUAAGAUGUAUAUUUAUACUUGUUAUAUUUUGGAUUAACUAACUUUUUAUUAACGCAAGUUCUAUUGUAUUCUAUCUAUUUUGGACUUAUUUUACACAAAAUAGUAUUGUUACUAUUUUGGAAAGGUGCUGAUUUAAUUGACAUUUGGUUUACUUGUUUUCAUUGGUUUUGGAUUGAAUGUCAAAAUAUUGAAUAUAAUGUAUACAGGUGAUAAACUUUAAACAUUUGGUUAUAUAUAUAGAAGGUAAUAUUGAUUAAAAGAUAGAUUUUUUUUUCUUUUGUGGAAGGUGUCUCUUCAAGAGAUACAUUCGGCAUAAAUUCGAAAUUUUCCACUAUGUGUGGAAAUUGUAGUAAGUGUCUCUUGAAGAGACACUUACAGUAUAAACCUAAUUUUUAAAAAAUUAUGGAAGGUGUCUAUUCAAGAGACACCUUUAGUAUAAUUCCAUUUUUUUGGAAAUGUGGAAGGUAUCUCUUGAAGAGACACCUUCAGUAUAAAUUCGAAAUUUUCCCUAUGUAUGGAAAUUGUGAAAAGAGUCUCUUGAAAAGACGCUUUCAAUAUAAACCCAAUUUUUUUAAAAUUAUGGAAGGUGUCUCUUCAAGAAACACCUUUAGCAUAAAUUCAAAAUUUUCAACUAUGUAUGGAAAUUGUAGAAAAGAGACACUUUCAAUAUAAACCCAAUUUUUUUAAAAUUAUGGAAGAUGUCUCUUCAAAAGACUUCUUUAGUAUAAAUCCAUUUUUUAGGGAAUUAUUUCGAAAAUUUCAACUAUGUAUGGAAAUUGUGGAAAGUGUCUCUUGAAGAAACACUUUCAGUAUAAACCCAAUAUUUUUUUUUUUUAAAUUAUGGAUUUAGUAUAAAUCCAAUUUUUUGGGGAUUGUAGGUGUCUUUCAAAAGACAUCUUUAAUAUAAAAUCAAUACAAGUUAAAAUUUGUGAAAUUGUGGAAUCAAAAGGCACUUUUAGUAUAUAUUGGAAUUUAUGGAAUUGUGGAAAGUGUCUCUUGAAGAAACACCUUUAGAAUAAAUCCAAUUUUGUGGGAAUGGUAGAAGGUGUCUUUUGAAAAUACACCUUCAAUAUAAAAUCAAAUUUAAGAGACACAUAGUAGUAUAAAUUAAAAUUUAUGAAAUUAUGGAAGAGACACCUUCAAUAUAAAUCCAAUUUUUUGGGAAUAGUAUAAUGUUUCUUUUUAAGAGACUCAUUUAGUAUAUAUUAGAUUUUGUGGAAUUGUAGAAGGUGUCACUUGAAGACAUGCUUUCAGUAUAAAUCCAAUUUUUUUUGAAUUGUAAAAUGUAUCUUUUGAAGAUUCAAUAUAAAAUCAAAUUUAAGAGACACAUGAUAUAAAUUAAAAUUUGUGAAAUAGUGAAAAGUGUCUCUUGAAAAAACACUUUUAGUAUAUAUUGAAAUUUAUAGAAUUGUGGAAAGUGUCUCUUCAAGACACACCUUUAGUAUAAAUUCAAAUUUUUUGGAAUCGUAAAAGGUGUCUCCAAACACCUUUAAUACAUAUUGGAUUUUGUGGAAUUGUGGAAAGUGUAUUUUCAAGAGACACCUAAAAUUCAAUUUUCUAAAAUUAUAGAAGUCAAGAGAUACAUUUAGGUUAAAUUCAAUUCUUUUAAAUAUGUAUCAUGAUUUUGAAAAUUUUGGAAGGUGUUUCUUCAAAAGACACCUUCCACGUGGCAAAAAACUGUCGUAGAUCUAUCAAUAUUUUUUCAACUACCAUUUUUUAAAAUUGCUGCAAAAGUUAAAAAAGCCCGUAUAGAAGUAGUGUUAUUAAGUAUCAAACUUUAAAGUAAACAAUUCUAAAAGCAUUUUUUAAAUAUUUUAUGGGAUACUAUUUUUUAAAAAUAAUAUUAAUUAAAUAAAAAAUCCUAACACUAAAACCCAAUACAUGUAUGUAUAGGCAUCCGUUGCCAAGCUGAUUUUUUAAGGAAAGGAAUUGAAUAUUAAGGAGAAUUGUGUUUUGGAGUCAAUUGAGCCCAAAAAUUAAGACUUGACCCAUGAAAGUUACAUAAUUGAUGAGAAUGAUAUAAAAUAUGAAAAGACUAAUAUACCCUUCAAAACUAUUUUAAGUAUUUUCUACCACAAUGUUUGACAAAUUUUUUUAUUUUAAUUUUUUUAAUAAUUAUUCUAAAAAUUUAUUAUUUUUAGAAACUAAUUUUUUUUAAAAAUAUAAUUCUAAAAACAUAUCAUUUUAAAAAAAUAAUUUUGACAUAUUUUUAGUUAUUUUUUACCUACAUAAUUUUAAAUAUAUAUAUUUUUCAAGAUGUUUGAUUUUUAAAUAAUAAUAAUAAUAAUAAUAAUAAUAAUUUAUUUUUAGUUUUUUUUAAAAGGGGCAUUUUUUUUCCAAAUCACUGAAUUAAAUUAAAAUUUAUUGAGGUUUACAAAAGAAAUAAAAUUUAAAUUAAUAUUUUUCUACUUUUUUUUCAUCUUCAAUAAAUGUUAUUUUUGGAAAAAUAAAAAAUCUAUAUCCUUCAUCUCAAUUUCCAUACUUCUUUUUAGUCUUGGGCUUAAAUAGUGAAUUUAUAUGGACUAAAACUUAAUUUUUAAACUCAAUUAGGUCUAAAACACAAUUAUACCUAAAUAUUAAUUCUCAUAUGGUCUCUCUCUCCUCCUCUCUCUCUCAUAUUCUUUGAAGAAUCUAUAAUCUAUAGAGUUGACUUUUUUAAUGCCCAUGAGCAGCUGAUUUUUGAAGGAAAGUGAUUGAAUAUUAAUGGUUGUGAGACCCAUUCUCAUAUGUUCUCUCUUCCUCUCCCCCUUUCUCUCUCAUAUUCUAUGAUAGAAUCCAUAGUCAAUAGGGUUGAUUUUUUUUUUUUUAAUGCCCAAGAGCAGCUGAUUUUUGAAGGAAAGUGAUUGAAUAUUAAGUUGUGAGACCCACUCUCAUAUGUUCUCUCUAUCUCCCCCUCUCUCUCAUAUUGUAUUAUAGAAUCUAUAAUCUAUAGGGUUGAUUUUUCUUUUUUUAACGCCCAUGAGCAGCUGAUUUUUGAAGGAAGGUGGUUGAAUCUUAAUGGGUUGUGAGACCCAUUAAUAUAGAGAGGAACUCAAAAUCCUAAUAAAAAUGUAUUUCAAUUAAUAAUGGAUUUUUAAUUCAUAUGCUCAUUUUUAAUAAUUAAUUCAAAUAAAAUAACAAAUUAAAAGUAAAAUUGAUUUUUUAAUUUCAUUUUUUAUUUCAAUGUCUCAAAUAUAUACAAAAAAUAUGAUGAUUAUUUUCAAGGUUUAUAAAACAAUUCUACAAAAAUAGAUUUUUAAAAAAUAUUUAAAAAUAAGGUGUUUGAUAAAUCAACUUAAUUACUUAAUUUAAAUAAUUAAAUAAAUUAGAUAUAUUUUUUAAAAUAAUUUAAUAUUAAAAUUAUUUUUAAUUUUUAAUAUUAAAUUAAACUAAUUAAUUUAUAUUUUAUUUCAAAACCUUUUUACCUCAUUUUCCCAUACCAAUGCAAAAUAAUUAACAUAUAUACCAAACCUUGGCUCACGAGUUUCAAUGGUAAAAUGACAAUUUUAUCCAGUAGGAUGAAGGGUUUUGGCCCACCACAAUAAACCUUAGGGCCUGCCUACUUUGUUGGCGGCUGCCACCGUGGAGCCAGACACUUUUGUUAGGCGGGGCAUCAAGAGAAUUAUUAAUAUAUUAUAGUUAAGGUAAUUAAUGAUAUUUAUUAUUAUUAAAAUUAAAUAAUUUUAAAUAUUAAUUGUUAAAAUGUAUCAAAUUAAACAACCAAUAUUUUUUUAAAUAAAUUAGAUUUUAUAAAAACAUUAUCAAGAAGAUUUAAAAGGAAAUUUCAAAAUAAAUAAAAACUAGAAAAAAAAAUAUUAGAAAUUUUGAAUAAUUUUAAUUAUUUUGUAGUAAAAAACCAUAAAAUUUAUUUUAAAGAAUUCAAUCAUUUAUAUUAUAAGUUUUGAUAUUUUUCAUGAAAAAUUGUGCUCCGAGGAUUAAAAUUUUUAUAGAUAUCAAAAUUAAUAUCUUAAUUUUUUUUCAAAUAACUAAAUAUAAGAUAGUUGAAAUGAAAUCUUUUACUUAAAACUUAUGUUUUAUAUAAUACGUCAUUACGAAGCAUGUUAAAAGUUUUAUUUUUUAUGAUUUAGUUAAGUCUAAUAAAAAACAAGUAUAAAAAUGAAAAAUUUUGAAUAAACAAAAAGAAAGAAAUACCAACAUUAAAAGCGAUUUUUUUUAAUUUUAGUUCAAUUUUAAUAUUUGAUUAGUAAUUAAUAAUCAAUAUUAUUUUUUUGAUAAUAAUAUUUAGUUGUCAUUGUUUUAAAUUUUAUAUUUAUAUUUUUUUAGAGGGGAUAAAUUUUCUAUUUUGGUUUUUAUUUUCCUAAAAAAAUUUAACAUAUAAAAUUGACGGUGUGGGGUACACGUGGCCCCCAUGAGCCUGACUUGAAUGGCAAGCAGGACUCAUUUUCUAGAAAAAAAAAAUUGUUUCUAGAAAAUUGAGGGUUGGGGAAUGGGGACGGGACAUGUGACCCCCCUGAGCCUUACUUGGGUGGCGGCAGGGCGCGUUUUCUAGAAAAAGUUACGUCCAACUAGUCCGGGGUCUUUCCAACUUUUCCUUCUUUCCAUUCAAAAAAGGCAUACUAUCACAAGUCGAUAAGACAUACAAAUUACCCAAAACCACCAAUUGCCCAAGGCACCAAAACAAGUAAUCUGGAGGGGCAUUUUGGUCAUUAUCUUUAGAAAAUUUCCCCAUUGUGACGUGUCUUCGAGCGGUUGGCAACUAGGACUUGGUCUUUGCGCAGUUGGUAACUAUGACGCCUUGGAAAUUGGAAAAAUAUUAUUCUACGGAAAAUGAAACAUUCAAUAUAUGUAUAUAUAGCCUAGGUGUUCUGAGCAAAUGUAGAUAACUCAGGUUUUGUGAGCAAAGGCACAUCAUAACUCAAGUUUUGUGAGCAAAGGGUGUGCACAGUAGCCAUGGCUAAAGCUCUCCUCAUUUCACCUUCUUACUUCAUCUUCCUCGUCUUCCUCAUUUUCUCCUAUGCCACAAUCCCAGUUUUCGGAGAAGAAUACAGUUAUGUCAAAACUAUCGAUCUUGAGAAAAUGAAUCUGCCGAAGGAAAAGGUAACACACUUUCAACUUUAUUGGCAAGAUGUUGUUAGUGGGUCUAAUGCAACCUCAGUUACAGUGAUUGAAGCACUGAAUAACUCAACAUUUUUUGGUUCGGUAAAUAUAAUUGAUAACUCGUUGACCGUUGGGCCAAAUUUGAGCUCAAAAACAGUUGGAAAAUCCCAAGGGUUAUACGCAUCUACAGGACUAGAAGAAUCUUCAUUAUUGAUGGUUAU